rnacentral:lncRNA from 1 species
AAGAUCUGUUCUAUGACAUAAUUAUUUAUGAUUUCAACUUCCAUUUGUAUAAUUUUGAAGUAAACAGUAUUGGUACUGGAAUUGGUAAAAUGGAUUAUGACGCCGCAGGGAAGUGGUAUGUGUUGUCUCGUUCUUGAAAGGAUGAUGAGUGAAUGGAAGACAUAACGUUCGCAUGGUUUCUUUUAAUCUUCAAUAGCAAGCAAUAGGCACAAGCGCACAAGGAGGAGGACGACUAGGACCACAACCAAAACGAAGGAAUUAGAGAUAAGGCUUUGCUCCUUCUUUCACCUACGUGGCUCACCAUCCAUCACCUCUUACAUAAGAAUUUUGACUACGAAAGUAAAUAAUAUCUCCAUCUAACAGUUAUAUGCUUAUUGGAUAUCAUUACAACAUAGAUGAUCGUCAAAUGAUAUAAUAGUACUCAAUACUUGUAAGUACUGUAAUAAAUUGUGCAAGAAACUUUGAAAUCCAAAUAUUUUGACGGGUCCAAAAUUUGACAUGUAUAUAGAAUUUUGAAGAGUCGUUAUAAUUUAGGUGUCAAAUUGUUAUUUGUGGGAAUGAUUGUUUUUAGGUAAUAAGGAGCCAAGCAGUGAUCCUUUUGUUUAUGCAUGGAGAGUUACACUAGUAGGAAAUGAUCUUUAAAAUUCAUUAAUCGUCUAAUUGAUAGGUAAACGUACAUAAUUAACAACUCAAGGUCCCUUAGGCCCGUUCGCCAUCUCUCAUCCCGAUCCUCUAUGACACCCGGACCCCAAUUACAUAACAAAACCUCUCCAAAUAUAGCCACCAAAAGAACCCAUAAGGAUAACCACCCAUAGUUUAAAACAAGAAAAACAUAUUCAGAUAGCUCAUCUUGUAAUAAACUACCAAUUUACACUUAAAAACUCUAAAUACUAAAGCUACACAAAAACAAGACAUAUAAGUAGUACUGCUUAGAUACCAUCAAAUGUAUUAAAAGUUUACCUUUGUUUUUUAAGAUAAUUUUUCACUGUUUUUAAU